rnacentral:rRNA from 1 species
UACGUAGGGUCCAAGCGUUGUUCGGAUUUACUGGGCGUAAAGGGCGUGUAGGCGGCGCGGUAAGUCAGUUGUGAAAUCUCUGAGCUUAACUCAGAACGGGCAAGUGAUACUGCGGUGCUAGAGUGUGGAAGGGGCAAUCGGAAUUCUUGGUGUAGCGGUGAAAUGCGUAGAUAUCAAGAGGAACACCUGAGGUGAAGGCGGGUUGCUGGGCCAACACUGACGCUGAGGCGCGAAAGCCAGGGGGGCAAACGGG